GAGUUGUCAAACGUUGUUUAUUUUCGCAUCAUAUCACACGCGUAUUUUUCGCAGUUUUCGCUUCUCUUUUUUAGUGCGGUGAAUUAAAUAAAAGCGGAAUAAUAAAUAGCUUUUGUGCAUUUUAAUCUAUGAAAGUCUGUGGAUUAUUCUAUUAUCAUCAUAAUUCAGUUCCAGAGAGACAUUUGACCUAACAAUGCCUAAAAGAAAACAGCAGGCAAGCGCUCACCAGCAGGACGCAAAAGUGAGCAAAAUUGUGGCAUCGGAACAGGUAGCGAAUACCGACUGGAAUAUCCUUUCGUACCGUUCACAUUAUGAGCCGGAAGAGCACUGGGAAUUACGUCGCCGCUUCAUGGAGUCACAUCAAAACUGGAUCCCGGAAGAUGAACUCGUGUGUCUGGCGCAAGUAUUCGUCAAUGUCGAAUUAUUGCACUGUCGAUAUCCACUGGAAACCAUGGAACGGAUCAAGGAACUAUCCCAAGGAAUUGCAGACGAGUAUCGAAACUCUCGGAAGAACAAACUUCAAAGAACAUUCGUUUCAGCAUCGGACGCCGCAGCCUCCAAAGUGCAAAAGAAAGGUCCUGGAGAAUAUCGAAACGCUGAGAACCCGUCAACGGCGUCAUCUAGGAAACAUAAACCGGUCCAAAUCAUCCGCAGUCUGGAGGAUAUCUACAACAAUAUUGUGAUCAUGAACAACGAUUACGAGCAAACCAAGAAUGAAUUCGAUCGCCUAGGGAAAGCGAAAAUAGGUAUUGUAUACUCGAAUGACUCGAAAGGAAAAAUGAUUGGAUCAGUUCAGAUUGGUCAAUUCACGGUGGUACAAAAAGCUGUCGAUGGGGGUGAGAAAGCAGCCAAAAAGGCAAUAAAGUUGGCCUUUGUGGAGACAAUGGCAAAGCAUUGUUACACAAUUAUUCGUAAAAAGCGUCCAACUCAGAUGACCAAUACCAACGUUGAGCGGAAACAGGUUGAGGGAGCAGUCGAUCAUCAAGGUCGAACGAUAAAGCAAGACUACAAAGAGCAGAAAAUCGGCGAAAGUAACCUCGGCUUCAAACUGCUCCAGAAGCUGGGAUGGAGUGGCGGAUCUCUAGGAUCGAAAAACGAGGGCAUUGUUGAUCCCAUAAAUUGCCAAAUCAAAAUCGGUCGGCAAGGUUUGGGCAGUGGUCCGGCGGAGAAAAAGCAGGGCGAAGAAGCUAAUAAGAAGGGGAAAAUCAAUACCCGUAAUGAGAGCUAUGGGAUUGAUAUCAAUUUUUAUCGUCAAAUGAUGCAGAAUUUCAAAGAUAGCUAUCUGGAAUACGAUUUGGUGUUCAGCAGUGAAUUCACCAAGGAGGAACGUGCAUUGUUUCACAGCAUGGCCCAACAGUUACAGUUGAAAACUCGUAGCUACGGCAAUGAUAAUGACGGAACACGUCAGUUUGUACUUCUCGGUCGGAAACUCCCACCCCACGAGUUACUGGAACGAAUUCUAGAAAAUCAGGAUCCCAUUUUCUGCGAAAUGUACGAAGUGCAGCCUCCGAAAAAUGACGACAAGAAAGAAUAACCGGAGCCACAGCAACACGAAAAAAUCUACUUUCUGCCGCAGACCGUUACGAAUUCUGUAAAACGUCCAGUAGUUUUCACGCCCAGAAUACCUGUUCAAACCCGGGACAACCUUUACUACAACAUUGUACUAGUCGAUCGAAACUAUAACCGAACCCGCAACGAAUUUAACCGCCUAGAAUGCGGCACACUGGAGCUAACAUCAGCCCCUCUCGACAAUCAACCAAACAUGUUCAAAGCCAGUAUCAAAGUGUCGGAAUUUACUCUAAUUGAAACGGAAGCAGCGGGACGAAGGCGGGCCGAAGUCAUUGCAAAGCGCCAUUUCAUGGACAAUAUGGGAAAAUGGUGCUACCGAAUAGUUCAAGAAAAGAAAUCAUCACUGAUUCACAAAGUAAGCACUGGAGAACGAAAAGCGAACGAAUAUAAAUGCAACCAGAUAGAUGAGAGCAACCUAGGUUUCAAGAUGCUGCAAAGACAUGGCUGGGAAGGCGGUGCGUUGGGACCCAACGCGAAUGGAAUUCUCGAGCCCAUUGCUGUUACGAAAGGAUUCCAUGGAUUCAGUCAGGGCCACGACCAACAAUUCGUUGAACGAAACAAACAAUUUGAUUUGGCAUACUACCGUCGAUUGAUCGAAGAGUUCAAACACAACCGCGUUGAGUAUGACUUAGUUUUCAGUGCGGAGUUUACAAAGGAAGAACGAGCUCAAUUACACCAGCUUGCUGAGGAGUUCGGAGUGAAAUCGAAAAGCUUUGGGAAAAAUAAUCGGAGGCAGCUGCUACUCUCCGGAAGAAGUAUGUCGUUGCAUGAAAUAUUGGAUCGAGUACUUAUCCAAAAGGAUUCAAAAAUUCGUGCAAUGUACGAAGUUCAACUGCCCAGGGAAAUUUCGAAUCGAAUAUCUACUAAUAAAAGCGAAAGUUAGAAAUUUUAAUAAUAUGUAUAAAAACCAUGUAUUUACAUUGAACAGACUUGUGCUUUGUUAGCUACCCUUUAUCAAUGUCGAUAGGGCCUACAAUGUCAAAAUAUGUUCUUUCUGAUGCUUGCCGCUUCCGACGCUUUGAACAUUUUUUGGAUUUCUUUUUCUUCGGCGAUAGAGUUUCACGUCUGAUUUUCUUCAUUAGCUGUUUGAUCAUCUUCUCUUUCUGUGCCGUUUCUGAAACAUCUGAAUCUCGCUCGUCUUGAGGUUCUUCUUUCACACUCAAUGUUGCAUUGGAACAUUGGUUCAAUGUCGACUCUCUGUUAGACACCAGCUCUACCGGUUGUUUUGAGUCAUAUACAGCUCCUUCCUUUACACUCGAUUUUAAAUUGGAGUGAAACGUCGAUUCCGUAUCAGAAUCUAUCGAAUAUUUUGUAUCAUGUACGUCACUAAACACAUCAGCACCCUGCUGCAUUUCAUCAUGAUUUUCGUAUUCAGAUGCAUCUGAUGUCCGAUGCCAUGCGAUUGCAUUUACAGCUUCUGUACCAUGGAUUAGAUGUUCUAUAGGGAUUGCCACAAUUGGGAUUGGAGCCGGAUAAAACGUGUCGGUAUCAUCUAUUUCCUGUACUGAUUCUUCACUUAGAUGUUCUAUCGGGGCUGGAUUAAUGGAGCUUUCCUUUGUUCUGAAUGCCUUAAUCAAUGCAUCAUUCGAUUGCCAUACUUCCCGGCAUCUGUAGAAAUCUUCCAACUUUUUGAGACAAUCGCAGCAAACAAAACUAUUAUAAUCCGCUUCGAACUCAAGACGAAUGUUUGCAACUUGCUCAACGACCCU